UACGGAGGGUGCAAACGUUGCUCGGAAUUAUUGGGCGUAAAGCGCACGUAGGCGGACCAUCAAGUCGGAUGUGAAAUCCCUCGGCUUAACCGAGGACGUGCAUUCGAAACUGAUGGCCUUGAGUACGAAAAGAGGAUCGCGGAAUUCCCGGUGUAGAGGUGAAAUUCGUAGAUAUCGGGAGAACACCAGUGGCGAAGGCGGCAUCCUGGACCGAGAUUGACGCUGAGGCGCGAAAAGCCAGGGGAGCAAACGGGG
rnacentral:rRNA from 1 species